rnacentral:tRNA from 2 species
GCCGGGGUGGCGGAAUUGGUAGACGCGCAUGGUUUAGGACCAUGUCCCGCUUAGCGGGAUGCAGGUUCGAGUCCUGUCCCCGGCA